CCCUCUUAAGUAAACUUGGCGCAAGCGGCACCUUUUGGACGACACAAAUCACAUUCAGACGCCAUCAAUUUUUCUGUCAUCAGUGCAAAGCAAAGAUGACGUUACAGCUUUCUAAAUAUCAUCCAAAACUUGUCUCUUUGUAAUAGCGACAAAACAAGCAGAAAUGCUGAGUAUCCUAAGCCCCUUGUUGUUCCAAAAAGCACGGAAUUCACUUGAAUGACAGCUUUUCGCUAGCUGGGUAGCGAGAUUGUUUCGUUGGCCUUAAGGCACGCGUUUGUUUCUUUCCUCGGAUGACUUGGUGCAUCAUUUUGCAUGUAAUUACCGAGGUCAUAUUUUAGAGCCUCGCUUUUGUUUUAUUGUUUGUGAUCCCGUGGAUAGCAUAGCUCAUGACCUCCCGUCGUUCGAGAAAUUAGGGUACGGAUUUAACAUGCGCUUCUGACAAAACAUAAACCGCUUAUAGCUUUCUAGAGAACACUGGUCAAGAGGAUAUAUGAAACAAAAGUGAACAACGACGUUCACUGAAGAAGAAUCUUCAAAGAUGAAGACGUCGUUAUUGCUUAUCGCUGUCUUCGUGGUGCUUCUUGUAUUGGUCUCCUUUCCUGAGGAUACAAAUGCUGUGGUAUUCGUGCUGAGCCAAGGAAAAAUUCGAUCAAUUGAACGACAACGUCAGAUUAAGAAGCUGACGAAGAGAAUCAAGAGAAUCAAGGCACUGAAUCGCGGCAAGAGAAAGAAAAAACAUUCAAAGAGAUCUCAGAAACUUCGCGAGAUGCGAAGGUGGCUUCGGCGAUUCAAGCAAAAGAAGCAAGUAAAAUGGCUCCGAAGAAUGCUGAAGAAGAAAAUGCACGGAGGGGAGAAGAAGUCUACGUGAGAUGAUGUCAUAGGGUGGCAGUAGAGGCGCCGUAUUUUAACAUGUGAUUUGUGACGUCAGAGGUAGGGGACACUAGCACAAGCACUGCACCAAUCACAAAAUACGGCGCGACCUAGAAUGAUCCAGAAGCUUCUGUGGAAUGCGUGGAAGAGGAUGGGACACGGUGGAUCUUUUGAGGUGUAGACAUAUGACAUAGCUUUAGAUCGAAAGAAUAUGUAAUAUAGAACUUGGACUGCAAGGACGCUAUUAUUUAAUUACGGGAAAAUGUCGAUGUUCAAUAUAUGGAAAAAUGGAAUCUGGAAUGGAAUGUAAAGACAAAACACGGACAAAAAGUUACCCCAAGAUAAUACUGUAAAAACUUACGCGUCAACAUUAAAACAUUGGUAAUUGUUAGCAAUCUUCACACACAAUGUUUUGUUGAUAUCGACGACCAAGCCUGAGUAACCUUAAUCACGUGAUAGCUGCAUCACGUGACACCACCUGAACUAGGUAUUUGUGAAAGAAUUAAAAGACGACUGGGGUGACGACGCCAUCUUACCGCUGAUAUUUUAUCUUUAUUUUAGCCAGUUUAAAAUAGCUCAAGUCUAAGAACUUGCACGACUUAACUCUAAUGAGCAAUACGAGACGCCAUGGCGACACAGCUUAGAGACAAGGACGACGGCGAAGGCAUCAAGAACGGCGCGCGAGGAACGUGGAAAUUGGAAAAUGCCUUUUUAGAUUUGCAGACAACGCCGUUUUUAAUCAAUUCGUGAGCUCGCGCGCCGUUUUUGAUGCCGUCGUCGUCGUUGCGUAAGGUCUCUAUUAGAAAUGCCAGAAUUUGCCAAUCGCUAUUUCUGUUUGCACGGAAAGUAUUUUUGAAAGUAGGAAUGUAUUGUUUGCUAGAUUUACUCUUUAUUGAGUAAGUUGUUUUUCUAUUGCAAUGUCCUUAUCUCCCGCAUUGCAUUGUUCAAGCACAAGGAGCUUAUUCUCUACUCUAUCGCAUUGCUCAAGAUUUUGGUCACAAACGUCACGUUUACUUUAGUGUUUCAUUCAAGUAGAGUUUCUAAAAGUAACAUGGCUAGAAAAAAAAAAAACAGACAAGCUGUAGAAUAACUAGGUGGUCUACGUAGGCGUGGCAGAAUCAGGGAAAUGAAUCAAUCCUAGGUUGAAAUUGUAUGUUUUACUUGUUUUACGCCCUUGUGGAACACAUUUGUUUCGCUGGCGUUUCGAACGUUAGCCCUUCGUCAUAUGUCAUAACAAAAAGAGACGAAGAAAAAUCCUUUUGAGCUUUGGAUUAUAAUCACCUUUUUUCUCGUAUUUGAAAGUGCGCGUGCAUAUACACGAUUUUCGUGUAUGUUUGCGUUAUUUGCCCCAGGCGAAUAGUUGCCAUGCUAAUACAAGCCACGAGGCAGGACAUUGCUAACUAAAAACACGAUGACAUUGGUUCAAUUGAGUUGGUAAAACCAAGACUGCAAAAUAAUGCAUUUAGAAUUAUACUACAAGACUAUAAACUGAAAUAAAAACCCAAAGUCUUCACGAUUA